rnacentral:rRNA from 1 species
UACAGAGGUCUCAAGCGUUGUUCGGAUUCAUUGGGCGUAAAGGGUGUGUAGGUGGCGCCGUAAGUCGGGUGUGAAAUUUCGGAGCUUAACUCCGAAACUGCAUUCGAUACUGCGGUGCUUGAGGACUGGAGAGGAGACUGGAAUUCAUGGUGUAGCAGUGAAAUGCGUAGAGAUCAUGAGGAAGACCAGUGGCGAAGGCGGGUCUCUGGACAGUUCCUGACACUGAGGCGCGAAAGCGUGGGGAGCAAACAGG